GAUGAACGCUGGCGGCGUGCCUAAUACAUGCAAGUCGAGCGAACGGACGAGAAGCUUGCUUCUCUGAUGUUAGCGGCGGACGGGUGAGUAACACGUGGAUAACCUACCUAUAAGACUGGGAUAACUUCGGGAAACCGUAGCUAAUACCGGAUAAUAUUUUGAACCGCAUGGUUCAAAAGUGAUAGACGGUCUUGCUGUCACUUAUAGAUGGAUCCGCGCUGCAUUAGCUAGUUGGUAAGGUAACGGCUUACCAAGGCAACGAUGCAUAGCCGACCUGAGAGGGUGAUCGGCCACACUGGAACUGAGACACGGUCCAGACUCCUACGGGAGGCAGCAGUAGGGAAUCUUCCGCAAUGGGCGAAAGCCUGACGGAGCAACGCCGCGUGAGUGAUGAAGGUCUUCGGAUCGUAAAACUCUGUUAUUAGGGAAGAACAUAUGUGUAAGUAACUGUGCACAUCUUGGCGGUACCUAAUCAGAAAGCCACGGCUAACUACGUG
rnacentral:rRNA from 1 species